AUGUCUUUAGUAUAAUUUGUAUAGCAAAUUUAGGUUUUGUAGGUAUUUUGACAUA
rnacentral:tRNA from 1 species